GUUCUUGGGGUUUUAAAUAGUAGGCAUGGAGGGAGACAAUCUCAAACUAAAAUGGAUCCAGCUGUAUCACAAUAUUCUUGCAUGCUUUGUUGUAUGCUGUAAAACCUUUGUGUUGAGACUUUUUGGAGACUUUUGCACAAAUUUCGUUCUUGGCCAUUUUGCUGAGGCAGAACAGCCUUGUGGAGUCCCACAGGUCUUCUCCAGGGAUCCUCUCUUCAUCUCAGCCAUCAUGUCUGCAGAGAAGCAGAGAGUGUACCAGGGCGUCCGAGUGAAGACCACAGUCAAAGAGCUGCUGCAGAGGCACAGAGCCCGAGAGGCCAGCAGCAAGAAACUGAAAACGAUAUCCCAGGCUUGCUUGGAACUCCAGGAGCUGUGCGCCUCCGCAUUCCCAAGUCGUCAUGUGGAUCCUCCCUCCGUCAUCCCUCCAGCUGACUCCAGCUGCGGAGCGCGAGCCGUCCAGCUGCGCGCCGCCGUGUUCCCUGAGAGCUCGUGCAGCAUCCAGAUGCAGGACGGCAGCUUUAACGACAUCCAGCAGCAGUUUGGGGACGUGAUGUUGCCCGGCAACGGCUACGGGGGCAAUAACAACAACAACCCCAGCGGAGGCAUCAGCUACAGCUCCUCCCUGCCGCCCCCCACCGCCUCCCCGCUGCCCUGGAGCCACGGACUGUCCUCAGAUGCGGACUUCUACGGCCACGGGAUGGCUCCCUGCUCCUCACCGGAGUCUCUGGCGUUCUGCAACCCCAUGGAUCACAACAGCUACUCCCCACAGGACUCGUUCUCCUCCUCCUCUUCCUCCUGCUACGACUCGCCCACCAGGAUGGAGUCCAGCUUCCGCGGCUUCACCUCGGAGCUCUACCACUACCAGCACUGUACCCCCCAGGACUGUUACUGUCUGCCCCACUGCUGGCCAGCCCCGCAGGAGAGCUUCCCUGCCCCAGAAUAUGCACCUUACUACAACCCCACAGACCUUCCAUACGUCUGUCCUGUGGAGGAGAAUUACUUUAGGAGGGAUCUCCCAGUGAGCUCUGAGAUGUGUUACAAUGUUCUAUGAUGAGACCUCCAGCAGUAUUACCUUGUAUUCUGGCUGUAAAUAUGAUUCUCUUCAAGUAAGGCUGUUUGCUUGUUGCUUUGCAGUCCAUGCCAGUGUGUGUCCUGACUGGCUUUGGCUUCGGUGCAUGAUGAAUGCUGAAUGGAUGGAAAUAUUUUUGUAUCCUUUUUGAAAACUUAGAUUUAUUUUCAUACACAUGAUUUGUUGCUGUACAAAAUAAAGAAAAACAAACAACGCUGGCUGGUAACGUGUUUGGGCUGAACUGUACUGUAAUUCAAGACUUUGCACUGAAGUGAAGGAACCCUGAAAGAUUCGAC
ensembl:lncRNA